rnacentral:rRNA from 1 species
UACGUAGGGUGCAAGCGUUGUCCGGAAUUAUUGGGCGUAAAGAGCUCGUAGGCGGGUUGUCAAGUCCGCUGUGAAAGCCCGAGGCUCAACCUCGGAGGGUCGGUGGAUACUGACAGUCUUGAAGGUGCUAGGGGGAGAUGGAAUUACCGGUGUAGCGGUGAAAUGCUUAGAUAUACAUAGAACACCAAUUGCGAAGGCAGCUCACUACACAUCAUUGACGCUGAGGCACGAAAAGCGUGGGGGAUCAAACAGG